AUACGUAGGGGGCGAGCGUUGUCCGGAUUUAUUGGGCGUAAAGAGUGAGCAGGCGGUUAAUUAAGUCUGAGGUUAAAGCGUGGGGCUCAACCCCAUAAAGCCUUGGAAACUGAUUGACUAGAGUACGGGAGAAGUGAAGGGAACUCCAUGUGUAGCGGUGAAAUGCGUAGAUAUAUGGAAGAACACCAGUGGCGAAGGCGCUUCACUAGCCCGAAACUGACGCUCAGUCACGAAAGCGUGGGUAGCAAAUAGGAUUAGAUACCCUAGUAGUCCACGCUGUAAACGAUGACAACUAAAUAUUGCCGCGAGGCAGUGUUGAAGCUAACGCAUUAAGUUGUCCGCCUGGGGAGUACGGUCGCAAGACUGAAACUCAAAGGAAUUGACGGGG
rnacentral:rRNA from 1 species